rnacentral:rRNA from 1 species
CCUACGUGAGGCUGCAGUGAGGAAUAUUGGUCAAUGGGCGCGAGCCUGAACCAGCCAAGUAGCGUGAAGGAUGACUGCCCUACGGGUUGUAAACUUCUUUUAUAAAGGAAUAAAGUGAGGCACGUGUGCCUUUUUGUCUGUACUUUAUGAAUAAGGAUCGGCUAACUCCGUGCCAGCAGCCGCGGUAAUACGGAGGAUCCGAGCGUUAUCCGGAUUUAUUGGGUUUAAAGGGAGCGUAGAUGGGUUGUUAAGUCAGUUGUGAAAGUUUGCGGCUCAACCGUAAAAUUGCAAUUGAUACUGGCAGUCUUGAGUACAGUUGAGGGAGGCGGAAUUCGUGGUGUAGCGGUGAAAUGCUUAGAUAUCACGAAGAACUCCGAUUGCGAAGGCAGCUUACUAAACUGCCACUGACAUUGAUGCUCGAAAGUGUGGGUAUCAAACAGGAUUAGAUACCCUAGUAGUC